GCAGUUCCUGCCUAGCUCUUCCCAGUGCCACUCAAUCCACCUUUCAGCUCCUCCAGAUCCCCUUGGAUGAUGACAUCGUCGAAGCCUUCUCCGUACCCUGUGGGCCAGGCAGGUGGGCAGCGCCCACGUGAGCUCAGUAAAACAGAUGGGACUCCACCAGGCCAAGGGGAAGGUGACUGCGCCGCCAGCCGCAAACACACCUGGGACGUUGGUCUGCAUCAUCUGUAGGGAGA